CACUUUCCAAAUUUUUAAAAAAUAGUUUUUAUUAAUCUUAGGGAUAAUCAGUAGUUAUUUGUUAUUGUCAUUUCUUAAACUAAUUGCAGCAAUAAAGGUAAAGAAAAAUUUUUAAAGUUUUUCUUUUCUAGCUGUUAUGAGGCUUUUAGUCACUAGCUCUCAUGAAUAAUGGGUUUUAUUCUCUAUGUGAAAAUAAUUUGAUAUGAGUUUACCUGGAUCACAUUGCUUUCAGUGUACAUCAUUCCUGAUUUUAUAGCCCACUAGUCUGAUUCCUGAGUUAUUACCCAUUUUUAGGAAAUUAGAGAAUUGACCAAGCAUUCUAGGAAAACAACAUAUGAUCUGUCUCCCUCACAACUUCCAGUUGUCAUAGAGAAGAGGGAAUAAGACAUUUGAAGUAGGACUUUCUUCCUGCUCUUGUUUACUGCUUCCCUCUUUGUUUUGCUCUAGGUUGAGAACAGAAUUAGACUCUUAAGUCACCUCUGUUUCCUAGAAAUCCCCUGGCCUUAGAAGUACAGCUCUAUUCGCUUCCCUACAGCCUGCUGCUGCCGACAGUAGGAAAAUGCAGCAUUUACAUGAAAUAAGUACAAGACCUACAAUUAAGAACCAAUUUCUUAUCAAAAAUCAUGGAUGCCAGAGAGUGGAUAAUACAUUGAAAGUCCUGGAAGGAAAAGUCCUAUCAAACAAGAAUGCUGUAGCUGGGACUCCCUGGUGGUCCAGUGGAUAAGAAUCCGCCUGCUAGUGCAGGGGACAUGGGUUCCAUCCUUGGUCCCGGAGGAUCCCACAUUGCUGUGGAGCAACUAAGCUGUUACGCCCCAACUACUGAGGCCGCAUUGCAACUGCUAGAGCCCUCAAGCUGCAACUGCUGAGCACAUGUCCUGUAACUGCUGAAGCCCUUGUGCCUAGAGCCUGCACUGUACAGCAAAGGUCACUGCGAUGAGAAGCCCAUGUACCACAGCUAGAGAGUAGCCCCCUCUCAGCGCAACUAGAGAAAGCCCAUGCACAGCAACAAAGACCCAGGGCAGCCAAAACUAAUAAAUAAUACUGUAUCUGGCA
rnacentral:lncRNA from 1 species